rnacentral:rRNA from 1 species
GAUGAACGCUGGCGGCGUGCUUAACACAUGCAAGUCGAACGGUGAACACGGAGCUUGCUCUGUGGGAUCAGUGGCGAACGGGUGAGUAACACGUGAGCAACCUGCCCCUGACUCUGGGAUAAGCGCUGGAAACGGCGUCUAAUACUGGAUAUGUGACGUGACCGCAUGGUCUGCGUUUGGAAAGAUGUUGCGGUUGGGGAUGGUCUCGCGGCCUAUCAGCUUGUUGGUGGGGUAAUGGCUGACCAAGGAGUCGACGGGUCGUCGACCUGAGAGGUGGACCGGCCACACUGGUACUGAGAGACGGCGCAGUGUGGUACGUGAGGCAGCGGGGGGGAAUAUUGCACAACGGGCGCAAGCCUGAUGCAGCGACGCCGCGUGAGGGAUGACGGCCUUCGGGUUGUAAACCUCUUUUAGCAGGGAAGAAGCGAAAGUGACGGUACCUGCAGAAAAAGCGCCGGCUAACUACGUG